UCUCUGUAUCUCUCUCUCUCUCUGUAUCUCUCUCUCUCUCUCUCUCUCUCUCUCUCUCUCUGUAUCUCUCUCUCUCUCUGUAUCUCUCUCUCUCUCUGUAUCUCUCUCUCUCUCUGUAUCUCUCUCUCUCUCUCUGUAUCUCUCUCUCUCUCUCUGUAUCUCUCUCUCUCUCUCUGUAUCUCUCUCUCUCUCUCUGUAUCUCGCUCUCUCUCUCUCUGUAGCUCUCUCUCUCUCUCUGUAGCUCUCUCUCUCUCUCUGUAGCGCUCUCUCUCUCUGUAGCUCUCUCUCUCU
ensembl:lncRNA